CAGAAGCUAUUGUAGCAUGUAGAUAGAGAAGAAGAUGGGUCGAUUUGAGUGAAAUCAUCUUCAUUAGUUGUCAGAGGUUUUCUCAUUUUUUUUGUUCUUUAGCACCACAGGCUAGAUGCUUAAUUCAGUUGCAUCAAGCAAAACCAACAUUAGAUUUGGUUCUGUACAAGACAAUUAGACAAAGAUGAGAUUACAUUACAGGAAACAAGUUCAGGGCUGAAUUUUUUGAACUAAGCCUCUUCUCUUUUACCAAAAGGCUCCAUUGUAUUAGUGAAACCACUAGUCUUGCUACAUUCAGCAAAUUACAUAUAGCCCUUGACAGGGGAAGAAAAACUCAUCAAUAAAAGCAAAAUCAGUAGUGCUGCAUAAGCAACACCUAUUACAGGGCCAGAAAGAACCAAAGACGCACGGCUGGGUUAAAGGACCUUCAAGCAACCCUAGUCCGGUGUGCCGCUACUAUCUUCAGGCUUCCAUGAUUUCCGUCGCUUUUUUAUCACCACCUUAAUCAGGGAGCAGCUGCGAUCGUAAACGCCGCCGGCCACAACAAAGUCUGAGACUUGAGACAAAAUGUCUAGGCACUCAUACUCCACUUUUUUUCUGAGCAGGUCCUAAUGGACCAGAAGAAAAUUUCAAAGUUGUCUUCAGCAAACGCUACUAGGAUACCACCAGCCACACCGGUGCCAGGUAAAGAAUUUCAGGUAAAAUUACCAAAACCUAUUUAAUUGUUAAAAAUGCCAGGACUAAAGUCCAUUAUCAUUGUUUCACAAAGGGCCACUAAAUCAGGAUUGAGUUUUGUAAGUUGUGAUACACAUCCGGCAUGCAGCUCACUCUAUUGAGGUUAUUAAAAUCCCGGACAUUCCAAAUCAGAUUAGUCAUUUAAGCAUUCUAUUAUUAUAUUUGAGGGCAGAUGACUUCCAAACCUUGCUUAAGCAAUCUUUUGCAGUUGUAGUCGUAAUAAGAAUUUGAAUUCUCAAUUAUAUUAUGCCAUGCCUGAAAAUAUAAAAUAUAAAACCGGAGAUUUGGAACCAUCAUACAGGUAAAAACCCGCAUGAUUAUAGCUAGGGAUGCAGUGUGGCGCCCGAUCCGCCCCUCUCCGUAGUCAAAACAGGGCCAGGUUAGUUAUAGCAGAUUUUUAGCGAUGUAGUUCAGCUUGAACUAACUUUCCACUUUUGCAGGCUUAUGCGGGAUGUGGACAAGUCUACUAGAAAAUUUGCAUGAAACACACGCGGUAAAGAGACAAUCAUAACUUUUGUUGGAGGGACAGAGGCGAGUGGAAGAGCUGAAUUUUAUUGUUGUUGCUUGAAUUCUGCAGUACCAUAUGAUGAGUAGCAGGGAGCCUGAGAGAAUACAUGUACUUGAAGAGAGGGAGUACCUUUUGAUAAGCUAGGAAAUGCAGGUGGCCUUGGAGAAUCCUGGGCCUGCACUCCAUAAACCUACAUUGUACAGUUAACAAAUGCAGUUAUUGCGCUCUGUUCAAACAGUCUAACAGUAAAGUACUACGUACUGGCACUAUAUCUCCAAGUGAGCCUCAAAUGAGAAUUCCAAUUACAGAGAAUGCAAAACAGGGGACAGCUCUAGCUGCAUUUCAGACCAAUUAUAACUGAAUUUCUGCAUCAAGGUGGAAGACAGGGGAUAUGUUGUAGCUUGGGGCCCUUUCCUUUACUCCCUAAAUCUGUAACUGAAAUCCUCUGCCUGUACCUCAGAUUGGCAUUCCUGUGCUCUGAACUUUGGUCCAAAUGCUGUUUUUUCAGCCGAGAGAAACGAGGGGUAAGC
rnacentral:lncRNA from 1 species